rnacentral:rRNA from 1 species
CUGGCGGCGUGCCUACACAUGCAAGUCGAACGGGGAUACGUUUUCGGAUGUAUUCUAGUGGCGCACGGGUGAGUAACGCGUGAGCGACCUGACCCAAAGAGGGGGAUAACAUCGAGAAAUCGAUGCUAAUACCGCAUAAGACCACGGUAUCGCAUGGUACAGAGGUCAAAGGAGCAAUCCGCUUUGGGAGGGGCUCGCGUCCCAUUAGAUAGUAGGCGGGGUAACGGCCCACCUAGUCAACGAUGGGUAGCCGAGCUGAGAGGCUGAUCGGCCACACGGGAACUGAGACACGGUCCAGACUCCUACGGGAGGCAGCAGUGGGAAAUAUUGGGCAAUGGGCGAAAGCCUGACCCAGCAACGCCGCGUGAGGGAAGAAGGUUUUCGGAUUGUAAACCUCUGUCGCAGAUGACGAAGGAAGUGACGGUAAUCUGUGAGGAAGCCCCGGCUAACUACGUGCCAGCAGCCGCGGUAAUACGUAGGGGGCGAGCGUUGUCCGGAAUUACUGGGCGUAAAGGGUGCGUAGGCGGUUGAUUAAGUUGGAUGUGAAAUACCCGGGCUUAACCUGGGGGGUGCAUUCAAAACUGGUCAACUAGAGUUCAGGAGAGGGAAGCGGAAUUCCUAGUGUAGCGGUGAAAUGCGUAGAUAUUAGGAGGAACACCAGUGGCGAAGGCGGCUUUCUGGACUGACACUGACGCUGAGGCACGAAAGCGUGGGGAGCAAACAGGAUUAGAUACCCUGGUAGUCCACGCGGUAAACGAUGAAUACUAGGUGUAGGGGGUAUCAACUCCCUCUGUGCCGCAGCAAACGCAAUAAGUAUCCCGCCUGGGGAGUACGGCCGCAAGGUUGAAC